rnacentral:rRNA from 1 species
UGGGGAAUAUUGCACAAUGGGCGCAAGCCUGAUGCAGCCAUGCCGCGUGUGUGAAGAAGGCCUUCGGGUUGUAAAGCACUUUCAGCGAGGAGGAAGGUGGUGAACUUAAUACGUUCAUCAAUUGACGUUACUCGCAGAAGAAGCACCGGCUAACUCCGUGCCAGCAGCCGCGGUAAUACGGAGGGUGCAAGCGUUAAUCGGAAUUACUGGGCGUAAAGCGCACGCAGGCGGUUUGUUAAGUCAGAUGUGAAAUCCCCGGGCUCAACCUGGGAACUGCAUUUGAAACUGGCAAGCUAGAGUCUCGUAGAGGGGGGUAGAAUUCCAGGUGUAGCGGUGAAAUGCGUAGAGAUCUGGAGGAAUACCAGUGGCGAAGGCGGCCCCCUGGACGAAGACUGACGCUCAGGUGCGAAAGCGUGGGGAGCAAAACAGGAUUAGAUACCCUGGUAGUCCACGCUGUAAAACGAUGUCGAUUUUGGAGGUUGUGCCCUUGAGGCGUGGCUUCCGGAGCUAACGCGUUAAAUCGACCGCCUGGGGAGUACGGCCGCAAGGUUAAAACUCAAAGGAAUUGACGGGGUCAUAGCUGUUUCCUG